rnacentral:rRNA from 1 species
GACGAACGCUGGCGGCGUGCUUAACACAUGCAAGUCGAACGGAAAGGCCCUGCUUUUGUGGGGUGCUCGAGUGGCGAACGGGUGAGUAACACGUGAGUAACCUGCCCUUGACUUUGGGAUAACUUCAGGGAACUGGGGCUAAUACCGGGUAGGAGAUCCUGAUGCAUGGUGGGGGUUGGAAAGUUUCGGCGGUGGGGGCUGGAAUGGCGGCUUAUCAGCUUGUUGGUGAGGUAGUGGCGUACCAAGGCUUUGAAGGGUAGCCGGCCUGGGAGGGUGAACGGCCACAUUGGGACUGAGAUACGGCCCAGACUCCUACGUGCGGCAGCGGGGGGAAAUAUUGCACAAUGGGCGGAAGCCAGAGGCAGCAGCGCCGCGUGCGGGAAGACGUCUUUCUGGUGGUAAACCGCUGUCGCCUUUGACGAGGCGUGCUUGACGGUAAUGGGUAAAGAAGCACCGGCUAACUACGUG